rnacentral:misc_RNA from 1 species
UUUCCGUAGGUGAACCUGCGGAAGGAUCGUUAAAGAGAAUAUGCCCUUCGGGGUAGAUCUCCCACCCUUUGUUUAUAUUACCUUUGUUGCUUUGGCAGGCCCGUCUUCGGACCACCGGCUUCGGCUGGUCAGUGCUUGCCAGAGGACCCAAAACUCUUAUUAUUAAUGUCGUCUGAGUACUAUAUAAUAGUUAAAACUUUCAACAACGGAUCUCUUGGUUCUG